UAUCACAAAUCCAGGGGUCCGAGACACCAUCUUGAACCUGACCUUGACAGCCCUUGCUCCCAAACUUGUAGGAUUUCAGCCUGAAGACUAUGAGUUGUGGUUCCAGGACAAUUUGGCUCCUGUGAUGGCGAGCAUCCAUCCUGGCAGUUUGGUGGUGAUUCCCAGUGACAUCAGCUGUCGAUCCUACGCAGCUAUAAUCACUGGUCUUCGGCAAAGUUUGACAUCCCUGCCGCUGCACCUUUCACACAGUGUGAGAUGGAGCAUGGAGUCAUUGAAGGAGACAUUCACACGUUGCUCAGUUCCAUAUUCCUUCAGGUGCAAGCAGACCCCGGUUAAUG